rnacentral:sRNA from 1 species
AUCGGGCUCGGUGGUGCCCGCCUGUAAUCCCAGCGGCUCAGGAGGCUGAGGCAGGAGGAUCGCUCGAGUUCAAAGCCAGCCUCAGCAACAAUGAGGUGCUAAGCAACUCAGUGAGACCCUGUCUCUA